AUAAUACAGUAAUAUGUCAAAGGAGCUUCAAAAUAGUGUAAAGAGCCAUCACUAGAAGAUAAGUUAUUGCAGAGAACUCUGUGAAAAUGUGUGAGAAAUUUGAAUGACUAUGCAUUGAUCUUUAGAUAUACACUGAUACCAUGCUCUCAUAUCUUUUACCUUUCUUCCUCAAAGGCAAAGUGCACAGAAAGUAAAUUCUAUUAAGUUUAUUCUGCCAUUGAUAAUAAAAAGGAAAGCUUACUGACAAUUUAACUCUAUUUUAUCUUAAACAUCAUCCAUAUGCACUUACUUAUCUGGUCCUUGAAGACAAGCAAAAGACAAAAGAUUUUAUGGAAUAAGAUACCAUCAAAGUGUUGACACAGAGUAGCUUUAACUCUUUCCUAUUUUAUAAGAAUGGCUCUGAGUUUUGUGUGGAGGAUGGUCUGUGUAGCAAGAGAAGAAUCAAAGCCGUAUCUGUUUUCUGCAUUGUUCAGUGGAAUAGAUGAUGUGAAUUAGACUAUGUUGUAGCAAUGGUGGAAAUAAUUUUGGAAAUAUUGAUUAGAUACAUUGGCUGGAUUCCUAAUUAAUAAACUCAAAAUACUUCUUUUCUUUGUAAUGUUUGUAGUUACACAAAUCUAACUUUUCUUUUUUCUUUCUUUAGAACCAGAAUGCUAUUUUUUGAAAGUAAGAGACAACUCAAUAAAUGCCUGUUGAAUAAACAAAUGACAGAAAUAUAUCUUUUUUAUGUUUUGUAGACCUAUCUUCACAUGCAACAUUGAAUAUUUAUUUACAUUGUACUCUGGACCAAGCUUUGAAGUUGUGGACUUUUUAGAAGGUAAAGAGAAGCUGUUGGAUCCUAUGGGCAGGGCAAUGAUACAUACAGUCAAUGAGCCAAGAGGAUAUUACAUGAUAAGAAAGGUGAAUGGUGGAAAGCCAGGGGAAGCUGUUGUUUUAUUUUGGAUUUUCUCAUAAAAGAUGAAAUGAGAGGUAAGAUGGGACUUAAGUAAUUUUGUGGUGAUAAUAAAAUUGAAGUAAACUAAGGUUCA
rnacentral:lncRNA from 12 species